UACAGAGGGUGCGAGCGUUAAUCGGAAUGACUGGGCGUAAGGGGUGUGUAGGUGGUUUGAUAAGUUAGGUGUGAAAGUCCUGGGCUUAACCUGGGGAGGUCGCUUAAGACUGUCGAGCUAGAGUACUGUAGAGGAAGGUGGAAUUUCCGGAGUAGCAGUGAAAUGCGUAGAUAUCGGAAGGAACAUCAGUGGCGAAGGCGACUUUCUGGACAGAUACUGACACUGAGGCACGAAAGCGUGGGGAGCGAACAGG
rnacentral:rRNA from 1 species